UCCGGCUUAACGCCGGCAGUCUCGCUAGAGUCCCCAGCAUGACCUGAUGGCAACUAGCGACAAGGGUUUCGCUCGUUAAGGGACUUAACCCGACACUUCACAGCACGAGCUGACGACAGCCAUGCAACACCUGUGCAAGUUUCACCCCGAAGGGUAGCCUAUCUGAGUUAUCCCCUGAAGGCAUCCUUGCAUGUCAAACCCGGGUAAGGUUCUUCGCGUUGCUUCGAAUUAAGCCACAUGCUCCACCGCUUGUGUGAGCCCCCGUCAAUUCCUUUGAGUUUUAGCCUUGCGGCCGUACUCCCCAGGCGGCACACUUAGCACUUUUGCUUCGGCGCCGAGAACGUCAGAGUCCCCAGCACCCAGUGUGCAUCGUUUACGGCGUGGACUAC
rnacentral:misc_RNA from 1 species